rnacentral:tRNA from 1 species
GCGCUUCUAGCUCAACUGGAUAGAGCAUCUGACUACGGAUCAGAAGGUUGCAAGUUCGAAUCCUGCGAGGCGCGCCA